AUGAUGGUUUGGUUGCUUUUCAUUAUAGAUUAUAUGGGGCUUUUUUCUACAAGAAAAUAGGUUUCAUAAUAUUUAUAAUAGAUUCACCCUAUACAAAUAGUAUAGAGC
rnacentral:ncRNA from 1 species